rnacentral:rRNA from 1 species
UACCAGCACCCCGAGUGGUCGGGACGUUUAUUGGGCCUAAAGCAUCCGUAGCCGGUUCUACAAGUCUUCCGUUAAAUCCAGCUGCUUAACGGAUGGGCUGCGGAAGAUACUAUGGAGCUAGGAGGCGGGAGAGGCAAGCGGUACUCGAUGGGUAGGGGUAAAAUCCGUUGAUCCAUUGAAGACCACCAGUGGCGAAGGCGGCUUGCCAGAACGCGCUCGACGGUGAGGGAUGAAAGCUGGGGGAGCAAACCGG